rnacentral:lncRNA from 1 species
CCGGCAUCCCACGCCGAGGGUGGUGGUGGCAGGCUUUCCAGAAAGGCAGCACACCAGGCUCAGCUCUGCUGGCGAGCAGGAGGCGACGGCAGAGGAAACUUCAACCCGAUGAACUUCCUGGUUGCGGGGACAUUUGCCUCCUCCUGCCACUCACCACCUCUGCUCUGGUCCCUCCCUCCAAGAAUCCUCAUAGCGUCCUCUCUCCCCACUCUCUCCCAUCCCGCGUCUCCCAUAUUUGCCCCAGCUUGGCUCAGGGCCACAGUUCUGCACUCUUCAGCCGGCGGCGCCACCAGCAGUUGUUUCUACGCGGGAAAUAGGGCAACAGCAUCCCAGCACAGCUGAGUGCCCAAGGAUGGUCAGCCGGGUAGGGCAAGAAGCUUCUUUCAGGGAUUCUGAUCUCACGAAAUAUAAUUCCUACGUAUUGGAAGCAGUCCA